rnacentral:misc_RNA from 1 species
ACUCUGUGGCAAUAAAAAUAAAAUACUAUCACAUAGAAGGCAACUGAUUGAUCAAAACUGUCUUUCUUGUUCCUGACAAAAUAAAAAAGGUAUGUAAAGCAGUACCGAGUACACAGAUGUCAAAAUGCAACACAAAAAUAAGAAUGGCAUCCCUCUAAACAAAGAGAAAUAUUACCGAACCUAUUAAAUUCAUCUCAAGUUCAACCUAUGAUUUUUAAGCAGUUGUAGCUGAUUGAGCAGCCAUCCUCUUGCGAGCCUCUUCAAUGAUAGAUAACUUGAUACCUUUACCCUUAGGUAGAGACACCCAUGGCUUACUACCCUUACCAAGAGUGAACACAUUGCCCAGACGAGUAGCAAACUCGUGCCCCAGGGAGUCCUGAAUGUGAACUGUCUCAAAGCUACCCUUGUGCUUCUCUCUAUUCUUAAGAAUUCCAACACGUCCCCUGUUUCUACCACCAGUCACCAUGACCACAUUACCAACAUCAAAUUUGAUGAAGUCAACAAUCUUAUUGGAAUCUAAGUCCAGCUUGAUGGUGUCAUUGGCCUUGAUGAGGGGAUCAGGGUAGCGGAUUGUUCUUCCAUCAUAAGUAUUGAGAUAUGGGAUUCCCUUCUGUCCAAACUGCACUGAUCGAACCUUACAAAGUUUGAACUUGGCUUCCUCAUCUCUGAGUGAGUGGAGACGGAAUCGACCCUUAGUGUCAUAAUGAAGUCUGAAACUCUCAUUUGUCUUUGGAAUCGUAACAACGUCCAUGAAACCAGCAGGGUAUGUUUUAUCUGUCCUAAUUUUCCCAUCAACCAUAACUUGGCGUUGCAUCAAGAUAGAAAUGACCUCACGGUAUGUCAAUGCAUAUUUCAACCGGUUCCUGAGGAUAAUAACCAGUGGCAAACAUUCCCUUGAUUUAUGAGGACCAGAAGAAGGCUUAGGAGCAAAAGCACCUCCAAGUUUAUCAAGCAUCCAAUGCUUAGGCGCAUUGAGCCUCUUCAAAUGUUUCUUCAACCCUCUUGCCAUUCGUGUGUGCUACUGUCUUCUCCUCCUCAAAAGAGAGUCGCCGCUCGCUUUCUUUGCAGAGUGCUGUGCAGGAGGUUUGGAACUUCAG